AAUAGCGCUGGUGCCCUUUAUCCUCAUGCAUGCAUGUGUUUCGUGUUCAGAUGUCAUUUGGCUCAUAACACGGAAGUUGCGGACGGCGCGCGAAUACGUUAAGUGUUUUCAGAAUUAACUAGAGCUGUGCAACGUUAUCUUUCAUGAUCAGCAUGAACAAAUUUAUUAGCUUUGGUACGCCAUCGUAACCGACUAUAGCUGUGUUAAUCUGCCGUCUUGAGGAUGCAGUGGCCAUUUCAACGUGGGCCACUUUGCUUGUUCUGCAUAUGAAGCUAUUCAUUAGUAUUCGCCGAGUGACACCGUGCAAACUCUUUCUACUCUUUUCAGCUGGGGUGCUCAACUUGUUCCUCCUAUCAGACAGGUGGUCAUUUAUGAUCAUAACCGCUGGGUUCAGCAGCGUCGACACGUUCUUUUUUCUGAGGCAAGUAUAGCAGUGUGUAAUCCGGCUUACAUAAUAUAUGCGAAUAACACAGCCCAACUUCACUUUAGCUAUAUUGAAGACUAUCGAAAUGUCCCAGUAACUUAAUAUAAAUGCCGUCAAGCCGCAGAAGCGUACAUAUUUUUUUUUUUUUUUGGGGGGGGGGGGGGUGUUGUUUUUGGUUAUAUGGUUGGCUGUGGUAUCCAGAUCCCUGUUUCUGUGAAACUGUACAUUUAGAUGGAACAAUUUGGUGAAUCGGUCGCGUGAUUAUUAUUCUUGACAUGAGAUACUUGUUUAUCAUAUUACAUACAUUCUAUUUCUGUGUCCGCAUUCCGGAAGACAUUUUUCUUUUUCUUUUUUACAGCGGAUUCUUCCUAUGCUUUACUGUCACAAGGCAGAGGAGAAAUGGACCAAUCGUCUUCGUAAUCGGCGUUAUCAGACGGCUGAUUAGGACUUGCAUUCCACUGUUUUUCAUCAUCAUGUGCCUGUACGCGCUUCAGCCGUUCGUCAUGGGUCCCAACACUAAGGCGUUCUUCCAAGACCUGCACAAGGAGGUGGACUCUCAUUGGUGGCACUUGCUCCUACAGAUCCGUAAUUUCGAUAGAAUCAGCGAACGUAAUGUCAUACCGCACGUGUGGUACCUGUCGACAGAUUUCCAGCUGUUCGUCGUCUCUCUUGUUACAC